AUGAGACAGGAAGUGCAAAGGAAAUGGGACACCACCUGUCCUGGAAGUCAAGGCCAGUCACGGUCGCCUAGCGCUCAUUCUAGGCAAUCCACCCACCCAUGAGGGGAAACGUGGGGAAGAAGGAAGCUUCCCUGCCUGAGACACGUAUGGAAGCCAAGAGCUCUCGGCUCAUGAUACCUGCCCAAUUAAGCAGAAACACGGGAGGCAGAGCCAGAGGGAGGAGAGAGUAGAGGCCAGAGCCCAGGCAGGAUACAGCACCGUGCCACCGCCACAGACAUAAGGGGUGGGGUUCCUAAAGGGUGGCUUGUCCAGGGA
rnacentral:lncRNA from 10 species